UACAGAGACUGCAAGCGUUAUUCGGAUUCACUGGGCGUAAAGCGUGCGCAGGCGGCUUUGCAAGACAGGUGUGAAAUCCCCGGGCUUAACCUGGGAACUGCAUUUGUGACUGCAUGGCUGGAGUGCGGCAGAGGGGGAUGGAAUUCCGCGUGUAGCAGUGAAAUGCGUAGAUAUGCGGAGGAACACCGAUGGCGAAGGCAAUCCCCUGGGCCUGCACUGACGCUCAUGCACGAAAGCGUGGGGAGCAAACAGG
rnacentral:rRNA from 1 species